AUAUAGGUGUAUCGUAGGAUGCUUAAAAGGGAAUAUGGUGAAAUUCCAUAACAGCCCUCCGCUACUGUAAGAAUGACGAAGGCUUAAGAGUUUGGAGACUCUAACUCCACUGGUGUAUGCUGGGAAGGAGAAGUUUGUAGGAUGAGUUCGAAGUCAGGAGACCUGCCUAAAAAUAU
rnacentral:ncRNA from 1 species